rnacentral:pre_miRNA from 15 species
ACACACAUACACAUGUAUCCAUAUGUGUGUAUAUAUAGACACACGUAUGCAUAUAUGUAUGUGUGUGUG